rnacentral:rRNA from 1 species
UAGAGUUUGAUCCUGGCUCAGAACGAACGCUGGCGGCAUGCCUAAUACAUGCAAGUCGAACGAGAUCUUCGGAUCUAGUGGCGCACGGGUGCGUAACGCGUGGGAAUCUGCCCUUGGGUUCGGAAUAACUUCUGGAAACGGAAGCUAAUACCGGAUGAUGACGUAAGUCCAAAGAUUUAUCGCCCAAGGAUGAGCCCGCGUAGGAUUAGCUAGUUGGUGGGGUAAAGGCCCACCAAGGCGACGAUCCUUAGCUGGUCUGAGAGGAUGAUCAGCCACACUGGGACUGAGACACGGCCCAGACUCCUACGGGAGGCAGCAGUAGGGAAUAUUGGACAAUGGGCGAAAGCCUGAUCCAGCAAUGCCGCGUGAGUGAUGAAGGCCUUAGGGUUGUAAAGCUCUUUUACCCGGGAUGAUAAUGACAGUACCGGGAGAAUAAGUCCGGCUAACUUCCAGU